rnacentral:rRNA from 1 species
UACGUAGGGGGCAAGCGUUGUCCGGAUUUAUUGGGCGUAAAGAGCGUGUAGGCGGCCAGGUAGGUCCGUUGUGAAAACUGGAGGCUUAACCUCCAGCUGUCGAUGGAAACCAUCUGGCUAGAGUCCGGAAGAGGAGAGUGGAAUUCCUGGUGUAGCGGUGAAAUGCGCAGAUAUCAGGAAGAACACCCGUGGCGAAGGCGGCUCUCUGGGACGGUACUGACGCUGAGACGCGAAAGCGUGGGAGC